rnacentral:rRNA from 1 species
AUUGAACGCUGGCGGCAGGCCUAACACAUGCAAGUCGAGCGAGCGGCGGACGGGUGAGUAAUGUCUGGGAAACUGCCUGAUGGAGGGGGAUAACUACUGGAAACGGUAGCUAAUACCGCAUACCAUCAGAUGUGCCCAGAUGGGAUUAGCUCGGAGGGGGGGGAACGGCUCACCUAGGCGACGAUCCCUAGCUGGUCUGAGAGGAUGAGCAGCCACACUGGAACUGAGACACGGUCCAGACUCCUACGGGAGGCAGCAGUGGGGAAUAUUGGACAAUGGGCGAAAGCCUGAUGCAGCCAUGCCGCGUGUGUGAAGAAGGCCUUCGGGUUGUAAAGCACUUUCAGCGGGGAGGCGGUACCCGCAGAAGAAGCACCGGCUAACUCCGUGCCAGCAGCCGCGGUAAUUC